rnacentral:lncRNA from 1 species
UUGGCUGCCUACUCCUACCGCCCCAGCCCCGGGCGGCCCUGGGCCUGCUGCGGGCGCGGCGCUGCCCGACCAGAGCUUCCUGUGGAACGUCUUCCAGAGGGUCGAUAAAGACAGGAGUGGAGUGAUAUCAGACACCGAGCUUCAGCAAGCUCUCUCCAACGGCACGUGGACUCCCUUUAAUCCAGUGACUGUCAGGUCGAUCAUAUACUACACUGAAGGCUGGUUACGCUCUUAUGUGCAAUAGAACCUCAAACACAUCGUAACACACCUUUGGAGAAUCCUUACAAGAACACCAAGUUAACAGUUAUCUCUGACCACACUACCUCAGCAAAAAACCAGGAAGAAAAAAUAUUCUUCAACCCUUUUCAGGGACAGAAAGCAUCAUUUCAAAAGUCCAAGAAGGGAAGCAAAACUUCUGACCUGAGACAUCGAAGCAGAUAAAAAGCCGCUACACAAAAUGUAUCGCUACAACUAGAGGGCAGUCUUGCCUUUCUUCCAUUCAAUUAUUCAGUUUCUCAUGUUCCUAAGUGCCAGCCCAGAACCAUGGAAUGUGAAGAAACACAAAACUCACUCCUCUGCAUCAGUGAAUUGAUUGUGUGGUGGGGAUGUAAGUCUGCAUGUGACUGACAGUUCCCCAAAGUGGUGCCAAGUCAAUCUAAACUAGAGAGAAUUUCUGGCCAGGCCAAGCAGAGAUUUCAUGGAUGAAGUCUCCCAAAGACUGAUUUCCUAAACAUUAAACAUCACUGGUUUUCCAAAACUGGUUUUCUUUUUUUUUUUUUAACCCUGUUUCUCAGGCUGGAGGGCAAGUGGUGCCAUCUCCACUCACUGCAGCCUCGACCUCCCAGGCUCCACUGAUCUUCCCACCUCAGCCUCCUGAGUAGCUGGGACUACAGGUGUGCACCGCCACGACUCGCUAAUUUUUGUAUUUUUUGUAGAGACGGGGUUUUGCUGUGUUGCUCAGGCUGGUCACUCGAUCUGCCCACCUGGGUCUCGCAGAGUGCUGGGGUUACAGGUAUGAGCCACCACGCCCAGCCCACUGGUUUCCUUUACACCCGUUUUGUUCCCCAGCAGUCCUUAUGAGGGCACCUGAAAUAAGGAACCUCCUCCCCGACUUGAGAGCAGCAAAGCCUUCAGAGGGAACUAAGUUAUUAAAACCCACCCCACACAAAAUGCUUCUAAACGCCUUGGCUGACUUAAUCCUUGCAGUGUGCUGAGGUUAAGUAUGAUUAUCCAUCUCCUGUGAACAGGAAGACUGAGGCUCAGAGCUUAAGUGAUUUGCCCACGGUUCACUGCAGGGGAUAAAACUCGGCUGUCCCUGGCAGGUCCCAAAGUCACGGCCUUCAGGCUCCCACACCAUGCUGCCUCCCUCACCGGGGCUCCACACUCUCAGCCUGGAAAACACUAAUUUUAAGAAAACCAUGACUUACGAAAAGCAGCCAAUCCCAGCAUUGGAACCAACAGGGCAUAAUUCCACCUGCUUCCAUCACCACCAUCCGCCCUGGAAUUAGGCCGGAUAUUCCAAUUUGGGGGAUCAUUUAGGUUAUUCAUGGAGAUAUACCUUGAAGUAAAGAAUAAAAACGUUAACUACUUUUAUUCAAGAAAUUUUUCUUCAGUUUUAACUAUGUGCUUGCUGCACAGCACUGAGGCCC